rnacentral:sRNA from 1 species
AAAUAGACCGGAUUGGAGCGGUAUCCUUUUUUGCCGUUCGAGGCAAAAAAGAUAAAGCAUAAAGCCGGACUGACU